UACGGAGGGUGCGAGCGUUGUCCGGAAUCCCUGGGCGUAAAGGGCGCGUAGGCGGCCUGAUAAGUAGGGGGUGAAAUCCUGCGGCUUAACCGCAGGGCUGCCUUCUAAACUGUCAGGCUGGAGCACAGUAGAGGCAGGUGGAAUUCCCGGUGUAGCGGUGGAAUGCGUAGAGAUCGGGAAGAACAUCAGUGGCGAAGGCGGCCUGCUGGGCUGUUGCUGACGCUGAGGCGCGACAGCGUGGGGAGCAAACAGG
rnacentral:rRNA from 1 species